rnacentral:rRNA from 1 species
CUAUACAUGCAAGUCGAGCGGACGGAAGGGAGCUUGCUCCCGGAAGUCAGCGGCGGACGGGUGAGUAACACGUGGGUAACCUGCCUGUAAGACUGGGAUAACUCCGGGAAACCGGGGCUAAUACCGGAUAGCUUUUUCCUCCGCAUGGAGGAAGAAUGAAAGGCGGCCUUUGGCUGUCACUUACAGAUGGACCCGCGGCGCAUUAGCUAGUUGGUGGGGUAACGGCUCACCAAGGCGACGAUGCGUAGCCGACCUGAGAGGGUGAUCGGCCACACUGGGACUGAGACACGGCCCAGACUCCUACGGGAGGCAGCAGUAGGGAAUCUUCCGCAAUGGACGAAAGUCUGACGGAGCAACGCCGCGUGAGUGAAGAAGGUUUUCGGAUCGUAAAGCUCUGUUGUCAGGGAAGAACAAGUACCGGAGUCACUGCCGGUACCUUGACGGUACCUGACCAGAAAGCCACGGCUAACUACGUGCCAGCAGCCGCGGUAAUACGUAGGUGGCAAGCGUUGUCCGGAAUUAUUGGGCGUAAAGCGCGCGCAGGCGGCCUUUUAAGUCUGAUGUGAAAGCCCACGGCUCAACCGUGGAGGGUCAUUGGAAACUGGAAGGCUUGAGUGCAGAAGAGGAGAGCGGAAUUCCACGUGUAGCGGUGAAAUGCGUAGAGAUGUGGAGGAACACCAGUGGCGAAGGCGGCUCUCUGGUCUGUAACUGACGCUGAGGCGCGAAAGCGUGGG